rnacentral:rRNA from 1 species
GAUCAUGGCUCAGGAUGAACGCCGGCGGCGUGCCUAACACAUGCAAGUCGAGCGAAGCAAUUAGAAUGAGACUUCGGUGGAAUUUUGAUUGACUGAGCGGCGGACGGGUGAGUAACGCGUGGAAAACCUGCCUCAUACAGGGGGAUAACAGUUAGAAAUGACUGCUAAUACCGCAUAAGCGCACAGCACCGCAUGGUGCAGUGUGAAAAACUCCGGUGGU